CCACAGUGUAGAGUCCUGCACCUAGGUAAAUGUAGGACAGGACUGGCUACAGCAUACAGACACUGGUCAUAAGACACAGAGUCAGGAGUGAGAGGCUUCAUGAACUAGAAGAAAUCCCCCAGGAGAACCCCGGAUUGUAACAUGACUAGACUCAAAGUCAAAUGUAUCUGGCUCUUUGAAGGAACAGUGGAACUGGAACUUGACAGCUUCAUUGCCCGAGUCAUUAUUGUGACAGAGGUGGCACAGUGCUGAGGUGAAGAGCACGGGCUCCGGAGCUGACCUACAUAGACUCAGAUCUCAGCCGUCAGGGCCUCCACUUGCUCACCUCUGGCGUGGGAGCAAUAAUAUCACCCAUGGCAGAAGCUGUCCCAAGUGUUCAAGUGAUCUUUGCAACGCACUUAGACCAGUGCCAAGGCCACGUCUUCAGAACAAGAGGAAGUGCACUUGAGGAACCAACCCUGGGGAGUCUUACACCUGGACCUGAUUAGGAACAAGAGCGUCAGCUUCGAGCAAGAGACGGAAACCACAACAGGAUUCAGCCAUCGUGGGAAGACUUGGGAGGAGAUGAAUGUAUGUGGCUUGGGGUGGAAAUGUAAACAGCUCUUGUCUAGGAAGAGACUGUGGCAGUUUUAAAAGGUGAGUGCAAAUUAUUUGACAUUUCUCCCUAAAGAGGCGGCAGUCUACAGCCCUUUCUUCUGAAGGCGCUGAGCUGUGCCGACGGAGCUUUCCUUCUGUAUCUAAGUGAACGUGUGGCUCCUUCCACCAAGAGAGCCCAGUGGAAUAACACCAAGUGAUCUCCACAGCCGGACCCCCACAGAAGGCCAUGCACACCUUCUGCUUGAGGCAAAACGCUUGUUCUUGGUGCUCUGGGCAACCUUGCAGGAAACGUCUUGAAGCUGCCAUGUGGUGAGGAAGCUCCAGCCAUGCAGGCAGGUCAUGUGUAGGCGCUUCAGUCCACAGUCCCAGGUGAGCCUCUCCUUCGCGUCGCCCCAGCCUGGAUACUAGACAUGUGAGCAAAGAAGGGUCCAGGCGAUUCCAGCCCUCAGCUUUUUCAGGCUUUCCAUCAGGGAAUGCAGACAUCCUACAGCAGAAACAAGCCAUCCUGCUAUGUUUUGUCUUUUUUUUUUUUUUGUACUUUAGGUUCUAGGGUACAUGUGCAGAUCAUAUAGG
rnacentral:lncRNA from 13 species